UACGUAGGGCGCGAGCGUUGUCCGGAAUUAUUGGGCGUAAAGAGCUCGUAGGCGGUUUGUCGCGUCUGCCGUGAAAUCCUCUGGCUUAACUGGGGGCGUGCGGUGGGUACGGGCAGACUGGAGUGCGGUAGGGGAGACUGGAAUUCCUGGUGUAGCGGUGGAAUGCGCAGAUAUCAGGAGGAACACCGGUGGCGAAGGCGGGUCUCUGGGCCGUUACUGACGCUGAGGAGCGAAAGCAUGGGGAGCGAACAGGAUUAGAUACCCCAGUAGUCC
rnacentral:rRNA from 1 species